GGCUUCGUGAUAGAGCGGUAAGAAUAUUUGCCUCUCACUCAGGAGUCCCGGGUUCGAUCCUCGGUCGGGGAGCUU